UUUUCUAAUUGACGAUCAUUUUGGUUUUGUUUGACGUAUUAUCUUAGAGGAUCUCGAUUCAUUUGGAUCUUUAACGGAAGGGUUAGAAUCUGAUCGUAUUGAUUUUCUUAUUAAAGAUUCUGUUAGAAACAAAGACAACUGUUUAUAGCUUUCUAUGAGAUAAAGAAGAGUGAUGAGAAUCUAGAUCUGGUGAAUAAAUAUUUUCUGAAACAGUAAAAGAAUUUGAAAUCUGUUUUGUGGGUCAUUAAUGAAACGAUUCGAAUAUGUUUAUGUUGAAUGCAUUAGAUUUUUUUGUUCCUUUUUUCUAAUCCAAGAUUCUUUAGCAAACAAGUGCUACUGUUUAUAACUUUUCAUAUAAAUACAACCGUUUGUCUUUAUAUGCAACGAAGUAAAGAAAGCAGAUUUUGCAUCUGGAGGAUGAAUAUUUGCUUGAAAUAGUAAUAGAAUCCUAAUCUGUUUUUUAUGCAUUUAUACUUUUUUUCAAGUACUAAUUAAUGUCACCACAUCACAACUGGCGAUUGAGACUGUUGGCAUGUUAUCAGUAAACUACAACACCAAGCAGAAUACAAACAUUGAAAAUAGAUAAUGGCUGUCAGAUAUGAAGAUAGAAUUAAGUCCUACAAAACCAAAAUACAACAGACAGUUGAUAUGCUAAACAACUAAAAAUUUUAAUAAGAACAGAAGAGAUAAUCGAUGAGGGAUGCUUUUGCCUUCAAGUUGCAAACAAUCAGAAAUUGUAAACUGAACAGCAGUGAGCAGUUUAGCUGUGACAUUCACUUACCGUUGAGUUUCAGGGAAGAUGAAAAAGAGACAGGCGGAAUGGUCGGUCCAAACUCGACGGCUUUGAAGGCAUGAAGGAUGACAUGAAGGAUGUUGAGGCAUUGCUAAAUAAGAAGACAUUCCGGAGCUGCAGCAGUCAAAGACAGGAGAGGAGCUCCAUGAUCUUAUCCACCGUCCCACUGCCAAAGAAACUGCAGUUGCUGCCAAGUUCAAGACCAAGGGUGGUUCUCAGCUGAAGGUGUAUUGCUUGAAUUUAAUAAAGGAAGAUUGUUGGCGUAAGAGUGUUCUGUACACUGCCUGUGAUAAGGUCAGUACCUAGUAUUAUAACAUCUUGGGUGUGAGUUUUAAUGCAUCUGCGGUUGAGAUUAAAAAGGCUUACUAUCUCAAGGUAAGAUUGAUCCUCGAUAUCUAUUGCAUUAUCUUAUUUACAUGGAUUAUUUAUUUAUUUUUACUUUUGAUAACUGGGUUGAUUUGGGUAGCUUGGCAUGUUACUUUUUCUACUUACAGCAGUAGUUGGGCUAUCAUUGAUCAAAACCAAGUUACUUUUUCUAUUUUUAGCAGUAGAUAAGUAACUUAUACAAUACAUUAGUGCCCAAUUUUGGAAUUCAGUACAAUACAUAUGAAUUUUAUCUAUUUUACAAUCUUUAAAAUCUGUGAUGAGGAAGCGAAUUGAACUUGAGCAGUUGAAAAAAAUGGAAAGAUUGUCUACUAUUCUUGAUGCACAAGUAAGGGAUUUUGCAAGCUCCUCAUGAUUAUGCUCAAAUGAUCAUAACAGAUUGUAAAUGUUUUGUCUGUUCAGAUGUAGAUCUUUUUCAGUGCACUCUGUAUUGUUGAUGCAGGUACGUCUAAUGCCAGAAUAGUAAAAGUUUUUCACGGGCUUAAUUCUGAUGUGUUUGUCUAGCAGCUUCUUCAUGGCGGGGCUGUCAAUGAUUCUCUUCUUGUGCGAAUUGCUUUAGCAUUUCACUCUAAUUUUACAAAGAAUCUUAUUUCACAAUUCUAUUCCAACACCAAUUGUUGCAGCCUUGUUGCGGGUUAUGGUAGUAAAAACUUUGCAUGUAUUUAAAGAAAGAAACGAGGUUUUUGACUAACCUUGGUGUGUGAUUCAGUUUAGUCUCAAAUUUUAUUAUUGAAAUGUGGAUUUACGAAAAAUGAUGCAUGAGCCUACAAUUUGUCCCAUUUUUUUUUUCUACUAUAUAUGCUCUAUGAUCCUAUCACUAUUGGCUGCAGGGUCCAUCUUGGAGGUAAAUAUGAAAAGAUUAAAUGCUAAAGAUGUGUAUCUUGAAGAAAAUGAGAAGCAAAUUGAAGAUGUCAACAACUUAAUAUUAUAUAUAUAUUGGUUUGUCAGUUCAUGAGUUGACUGUUUCUCCUCUUGUUGGUGAACUUGUGCUUUCUGAAAAUAUUAUCUUUCUGAAACAGAACAUUAUUCAUUUUGAUCUAGCAUCUAACUUCAAAAUUUCUUUCUCCGAUAUUUUUUUCUAGAGCUGCUUUACAAUCAGCAUUGUGCAUACUUGCGUUUGAGGUUCUUUCAUAUCUACAGAUAUCAAUUACCCAAUUCAUAUGUUUUUGCAUAUAGGCAUUAGUGGAGUGGGGAAGUAUAUAUGUGUUGUCAGAUAGGUCUUUUCCAAGGGUUGUGGUUGAAAGGCAAGAUACCAGGGAAUGGUUGAUUUUCUCGGGGGUGUUAAUACAGUAGCUGGAGAUCACUAUGAAUGAGAAACACGGAUGAGAUGUAUGUGAAGGUUGGCGGAGAAGGGGGGCUCUAUAUGAUCAUGGGAUAUAUGAAUAGAGUAGUAGGGAGCUGUAUGUUGUACCACAGAGAAGAAGGUUGAUGUGGGGUGAGGGUAUUUUGAUGCGGGUGUCAGAUUUUAAGUGCUUUGGAUAAUUGUUAAUGGAUUACAACAUGGUGGUCGUGUCCUACUACCAUUCUUAGAUGCAGUAAUUUCUGUGGAGAUGUAGAAUUGAAAUUGGCUUAUAUUAUGUUAUUUGACUUAUGUCCAUGAUCAAUGAUGGCUUGGGCUACAUAUGGAAAACAAACACUUUUUUGUGUCAAGUCCAAGAACCAAUGUCGGUGAAUCAGGAUUUUCAAGCAAUAGAAUUUUGCAGGAACCAUGCUUGCCUUACUCAUUAGAUUGCCAUUUUGCAGGAGAGCUCACGCAAAAUAAACGACAAACCAUUGCUUAUGCGGCAGGUGUUCCUCCCGCUAAAUUAUGGCUGUCUCAAGAUCUGGAUUUGCAAAGUUUUUCUGUCCAAAUGUAGCCUUAAGGAUUGUCAGUACAAUUACAAGUACUGAUAGACUUAACUUUUUCAGCAUUUCUUUAGUAAUUAAACACUUGUUUCAAAGGAUAAAUGAUGAUAAUAUUGCCAUUAUCUACACAAAGAUUUCCUAUAUGAUGACCAGAUAUUGGUAGUUGUUGAAAUGAGCACCCUCAGGCUUGUAUGUUUGUUUCCUCGCAAUCAUAUCCUAAUUGUUUUUUUUUUUUUUUUCCGAAAUGUGAUAGUUUCCUAUGCAACUUCAAGAGCUCGACAAGAUUGAUGCAGCCGACCUUAAGAGAACUAAAUUCACUGGGAAAACACACAGCUGCGGGCUAUUUUUAUCCAAUGAUGAUAUGUUCGUGAUAAAGGCCAUGUGCGAAUCUCAAACCAAGUCUUUGUUUCAAGGAAUUUGGGAUUUGGGUUUAAGCAUUCUCAGUCCAUGUGGAGUCCUCUACUAAUCAAUCAGAAUGACAUUGUCCAUCCACUAAUCAAAACAAGGAUUUCUACCGCAGUAAGGAUGAAGUAUUCUCAGAUUCUUCUAAGAAAAAUAAAGGGUGUGGAUCGUCCAUUCGACUUUAGCUUAUCAUAUCCAUACAGUGGACAGGCCAUGGACCUGAACUCGUACUAAUGAUGAAUAUUUAGAUAUUUUGUUAGUGCAUUUGUAAAUAAUCCCUUACAACUUUUGCACUCUAAUUUAGAUUUGUAGUCCUUUUCGAUAUCAGAAUUUGAGAUUUGAUUUGGUUGAUAGUA